UUUGAAUCCAUUGAACAGAAUGGAAGUUUUAUUGUUUACCCAACAGGAACAGCAUUAAGUGACAUUACUGGGAGAGUGUUGGUGACAUCACAGGGAACAGAGUUAUGACAGUGAUGGAUGCUAUACUGUGUCAACAGUCUCAUGGGAUUUGACAUGCAUCUGCUAUUGAGGAAUGGAAUCUGUCUGCUGGGUAUCUUUAUGACCUUUUUCCCCACAUUACUCUGAAAGAUGCAGACACACUUGCAAGAAGUAUUUCAGCACAUGAAACUGGAAAUUUUGAAUGUUGCCUUCUGCAUGUAUAUUCAAGAUGAUUGAAAACAGUUUGACAAGUAGACAUGACUAAUUUCUCCAUUGCUAGACGCAGAAGUCAAAGUCUUCCUGGAGGUGCUGAGUGCAAGACUCAUUUCCAGAAACCUGAGAGUGGAAACACCCUUGGAGGGUAAAGAAGCCAUUCAGAAAUCACAUUUCCCAGCUGGGAGUGCACGCUCUGUAAAAUCCUUCAGUAUAAUAAAACCAGGUAAUGAAAGUGCCACAUUGGGCUGUCUCUUUUUGAUGUUGAGCAAUUGCCUAAUAAAUGGUGUCAUAAACCAGCAUUCUAAUGUGGGGUUUUAUGCCUUCUGCAUGGCUUAAUUCUCAUUAAUCAUCAACCUAAGCUCUUCAGUUACAGAGGAGCUAGUACCUGGCAGGAAAGGCAG
rnacentral:lncRNA from 1 species